GAGAGCCCGAUGUGGGACUCGAUCCCAGGACCCUGAGAUCAUGACCUGAGCCAAAGGCAGCGGCUUAACCCACUGAGCCACCCAGGCGCCCCCUUUGAUCCUGUUUUGAAGAAUCAAGGGCUGAUAUGAAAGAAAAAAACAGGGAUUUUUGGUGUGGAAAGGAGCUUGGCUUCAGAACUGGAGGAGACUGGAGGGAAAUAUUGAAGCUAAUUGAGGAUUCUGGAAAUGGAGCCAUUUUCCAGGAAGCAGCAGCUUAUCUCAACUCAGGCAAAGGACCUGGCAGGCAAAGCAUCCUAAGAUGGAGACUGAAACUACCCUUCAGGACAAUAACAACUGUCCUGACUCCAGCAAGACCGAGUGUGAUUGACCCCAAGAAAACGAUCAACCUGACCUCUACUGGCCACCUGCCACCCACCAACAUUUGCCCCACAUUUUCCUUAUAUAAACCUGGAAGUAUUUUCAGCUCUUGGAGUCAGUCCGUUGUCUUCCCGGUGUUGGUCUCACUGAAAUGAAUUCCUUUUUGGUUACACGGCCACUCGUUUGUGAACUGCGGAUGGCCCACCCUCGUCUUUUUGGGACCCUCAGAGCCAAGUGGUUACAAUUUUAAGUGUACAAUUAGUGGUUUUUAACAUAUUCACUGCAUUGUGCAACCCUCGCCACUAUUGUGCAGGUAUUAUUAAUUUACAUAAAGGUAUUUUUUGUUGUCAUUCUGUUUCUAUUUUUGUCAAUUGCCAUUUUUAAAAAAUCCAUCCGUGCUGCUGCGCCCA
ensembl:lincRNA